rnacentral:rRNA from 1 species
GAUGAACGCUGGCGGCGUGCUUAACACAUGCAAGUCGAACGGAAAGGCCCAAGCUUGCUUGGGUACUCGAGUGGCGAACGGGUGAGUAACACGUGGGUGAUCUGCCCUGCACUUCGGGAUAAGCCUGGGAAACUGGGUCUAAUACCGGAUAGGACGAUGGUUUGGAUGCCAUUGUGGAACGUUUUUUCGGUGUGGGAUGAGCUCGCGGCCUAUCAGCUUGUUGGUGGGGUAAUGGCCUACCAAGGCGUCGACGGGUAGCCGGCCUGAGAGGGUGUACGGCCACAUUGGGACUGAGAUACGGCCCAGACUCCUACGGGAGGCAGCAGUGGGGAAUAUUGCACAAUGGGCGCAAGCCUGAGGCAGCGACGCCGCGUGGGGGAUGACGGCCUUCGGGUUGUAAACUCCUUUCGCUAGGGACGAAGCGUUUUUGUGACGGUACCUGGAGAAGAAGCACCGGCUAACUACGUG